UACAGAGGUCCCAAGCGUUAGGCGGAAUCACUGGGCUUAAAGCGUGUGUAGGCGGCGCGGUAAGUCGGGUGUGAAAUCUUGGAGCUUAACUCCGAAACUGCAUUCGAUACUGCCGUGCUUGAGGACUGGAGAGGAGACUGGAAUUUACGGUGUAGCGGUGAAAUGCGUAGAUAUCGUAAGGAAGACCAGUGGCGAAGGCGGGUCUCUGGACAGUUCCUGACGCUGAGGCACGAAGGCCAGGGGAGCAAACGGG
rnacentral:rRNA from 1 species